rnacentral:rRNA from 1 species
CCUACGGGCGGCAGCAGUGGGGAAUAUUGCACAAUGGGCGAAAGCCUGAUGCAGCAACGCCGCGUGAAGGAAGACGGUUUUCGGAUUGUAAACUUCUGUUCGUAGUGAAGAAGAAUGACGGUAAAUAAGGAGCAAGCCACGGCUAACUACGUGCCAGCAGCCGCGGUAAUACGGAGGUGGCAAGCGUUGUCCGGAAUUACUGGGUGUAAAGGGAGCGUAGGCGGGAAGCCAAGUCAGCUGUGAAAACUACGGGCUUAACCUGUAGACUGCAGUUGAUACUGGCUUUCUUGAGUGCAGUAGAGGUUGGCGGAAUUCCGAGUGUAGCGGUGAAAUGCGUAGAUAUUCGGAGGAACACCGGUGGCGAAGGCGGCCCACUGGGCUUUCCCUGACGCUGAGGCUCGAAAGUGUGGGGAGCAAACAGGAUUAGAUACCCCAGUAGUC